UCCGUAGGGGGCUAGCGUUGUCCGGAUUUAUUGGGCGUAAAGAGCGCGUAGGCGGCCGAGUAAGUCCGACGUGAAAUCUGGAGGCUCAACCUCCAGCGGUCGUUGGAAACUACUCGGCUAGAGUCCGGAAGAGGAGAGUGGAAUUCCUGGUGUAGCGGUGAAAUGCGCAGAUAUCAGGAAGAACACCGAUGGCGAAAGCAGCUCUCUGGGACGGUACUGACGCUGAGGCGCGAAAGCGUGGGGAGAGAACUGG
rnacentral:rRNA from 1 species